CAUUUCCAUCGUCACGAAGGCAUUCACCUUUUAAUCCUAUGAAAUGCAUUCGUCGUUCAAGAUUGUAGGAUUUUGCAGUUGGUGAUACUAAGUAGCUUGCUGAGUAAAGAGAAAAAUGACAUGGGAUUAUCAAGAGAACACAAACAUGAGAAUGCAAUGGAAAGAUAAUGAUAAUGACUCUUAUCAGGAAUAAAGUUAAUUCUCAGGAAUUCAGAGGUUCAUUAUUUAAAAUCGGCUAAACAGUAACCUAAUUUUGGAUAGAGUUUGAUAUGUAAAGACAAAUUUACCAACUUUUACUUUGUCUCAGCUUGUCAUGUUCAUUUAUUGCAUUUACUGAUUGUACAGAAUUUCUUACUUUGCUGAUGUAGAAUAUAAGAUACGCUAAUCCUGGGUUUGUCUUUGCAUUAAAGCGCUUUUGCCUACUGUAUAUCAUGCGUUAUGAUUAUACUGAAUUAAGUAUGGACAAAGUGACAUGAAUAUACUAGUUGGUUAAUUUGGAUUUGGUUGCAUGGAUUUGACUCUUUAUAAGUAAAACGACAUGAACAGAGAACUGUUAUAAUUAUCAUCAAGUUCUUUGCGCUAAACAAGAGACAGUUUGAAGGUAAGCCUUGAUAUAACCGGUAAAGUUGUUGUUAUUUUUUGUCACAAGUUCGAGCCAUGGAAACAGUUUUUUGCAGAAAUACAGGCUAAGAUUGUGUACAAUAGACCUUUGUGGUCCGGCUCUUUUCCGAACCCUACGCGUAGAGAAGCUUAAUGCAUCGGGUUGCCAUCUUAUGUGAGCCUGCUCAAAUUGUUGGUUCCAGACUCGGUCAACUUAAAUAAAACGAGUUAGUACUUUGGGUGUCUUUGGUACGAAGGAAAACAUAUGUUUUUCAAUUUUUCCAUGUUUGAUUGGCUUAAAUGUUUUGAAAAAUAUUUUCCUUAUGAAUUCAUUUUCCUCCAAUUGGAUGAAAAUAUUUUUCUUAUCAAGGAAAAGGAAACAUUUUUCAAAACACCUUCUCAACAUUUCCCACCCUCACCAACUCACGCCACCCCCUCUUUUAAAAAAAGGCUUUUUUGUUCUUCAAAUUUCCGUUACCACCCACCCUACUACCCCUCUAACCCACUCCACCCCCAACCCUUACUCCCGCAAAUUCUUUUUACCUUUUUUUUUUGCAAUUUAAAAUUUUUAUUUUUUCGUUUUUCUGCGCGGCCCUCCCGGAAAAAAAUGUAUUUUAAAUAUAUUUUUGAGUUUUAUUUUUUUUUAUUUAUCGGUUUAAAGUUUCAAAAUUUUACAAGUUUCAUAAUUAUGAGUUCGGAAGUUUAUGUGUUUGGAAGUUUAUGGGUUUGAAAUUCCGCAGUUCGAAAGUUUAUAAAAUUUGUGGGUUCGGAAGGUUGUUAGUUUGAAAGUUAUUUAUAAAUAGUCUUGAGAAAUUAAAUUUCUUAAUUUGUCUACCAAACACCGAAAAAUAAAUAAAAUUACCAUUUAUUUUUCUGAAAAAUAUUUUCCAUUAUACUAAACACACCCUUCGUCAUUUCUCAGUUUCUCACUAUACAAAAAUGGCUUCAAAGUAUAGGUGCAUUCAUGAUUCAUGUGGUGCCCAAUAACAAGUAGCUAAGGUGUCUUUUGGUACGAUGGCGAAAUGGACAAGGAUAUCCUAUAGGAUAUGAUGCUUCGUGGGAUUAACUAUCUCACCUUUUAUAAGGGGUAGAUAAUUUCAUUAUUUUAGUAAAAAAGUUAUUUUGUAAUUAGCUAAUAACCAAAUGCAAGAUAAAUACAAUUUUACAUUGGCAGAAUAGCUUAAAUGGCAUCUAUACGUGUGUCACUUUGUCAUAACGAUCCCCAAACUUAACAAUUUGCCAAUUGAACACUUACACUCCUUUAAAUCGUGUAUAAUAAAUACUUAUGGCAUGAGGCUACAGUGCGUGUAAUACAAUCUCCUCCACGUUGGCUGUCAUGUCAAAAAAUAACAAUAUUUAAAUGCCAUGUCACAUGGUAGAUUAAAAAUAAUUAAAAUUAAAAAAUAAAAUUCAAACGUUAGUCCUUUCAAAAAUUAGCGCACGUAAAGAAUCCCUUUCAAUUUCCUGUCGUUGGCGCCGGCGAAGAGCCCCAAACGGAAGAACAGCUCUGAACAACUUACUUUCAAUUUCACUCUUUAUGUUGUUAAAGAACAGCUACUUUGCUAUUUGUGCAAUAGAGAUUCAAAAACAAGACUUCAAAAUCAAAUACUCAAAUCAAGAAAGUAAAGUUUUGUGUAUUUAAAUUGACACAAACCAGUGCGAGGAAAGCUACAGAUUUGAAAAUUUCAAACUUAGCUUUGUGUUGCAGCUGAAAUCUCGCUCAAAACCAGACUAAAUCUUCUUCAAAUCACCUCAAAUUCGAGAUAUUAACUCCCAAAGGUAUCCUUAAUUAUUUGUCAAAAUACCCAAUCGAACCCGAAUCCAAUUUCGUAAACCCGAAAUUUUAAACUCAAGCUUCGAGCUCCUUUAGUGGAGUCUUAAGCUCUCUCUUUUGUACUGGGAACCUUUUUUGGGAGGAGGGGAAUGUAGGAUGCUUGGAUUUGAUUGUAAGUGAAGGGACGGAGGCAGCAACGGUGGUGGUUACGGUGGCUGGAGUGAGCCAGCGAUGUGAACGGUGGACGGGAAGUGCGAGACCAGGAGCGGCGAUGGACGCCAUUGUACAAGAUAAUGGAGAGUGAUGUGUAAGAAUAUUUUUUUUCAUUUUUUGUUAUUUUUUAAUUGAAAUCAUCAAAGUUACUCGAUUUUUAGAGUAUGCAAUCACGUAUACCAAGCUCAGCAAUGCAUAUGUCACAUAUGCUUGGUCAACGGUCAUAGGCGUUUAAAGUGAUGUAUUUUAAAAACUACGAGUGUCCAGAUGAAACUUCGUAGAGUAUCAGGACCGGAAUGACAAAGCGGGACAAAUAAAAGUGUUUAUUAGGCUAUUCAGCCUUUUUUUUUAAUUCUAUGGUUAUCCUUGUACCAAACGAUCCCUUAUCUUAUUCGUGCAAUAUAUUAAGUAGGAAGCAAAAAAAUUCUUUCCAUCAAGAGUAAAGGAAAUUAUAUUUUUCCAAAAUAAAAAGAAAUUUUUGAAAUGGCUAAAUUGGCGGUAUGAUUAGACCUCGCCCAAUAAGAAACUAGUUCCGUACACUAUUCAAGAAAUGCAGAAGCUAAUAUUGGGGCGGGUAGCAGGUGGUAGGGUGUGCGAGACUGAAGUGGUAUUCCAACGGUCGAUUCUGCUCUCUCUACUAUCUAUAUAAGAAAUGUCUCUUUGUUAAAUCUUCUCUAUCUUUUUCAAUCGCUUGUAACAUUCAGAAUUCCUUUGUUUUUUUCCCUCAAAAACUCAAAAAGAUCUAGAACCAGAAAGGCCCAAAAAUGGUGAUGUUGAAGGUCAAAUAUGAGGAGUUACGCCAACAGCGAUUGGAAGAAAACAAGAAAAGAAUGGAGGAACUCAAUCUCCCUCUGCUUACUCAAGCUCUCAAACUUUCCUCUUCCCCCAAACCUUCUCCUGUACGUUUUUAUUCUUCUUCUUUUCUCCUUUUCGCUAUAUUUUCCCAAAUGAUUAACCCACUUUUCUCUUUUUGGUUUUUUGUCUAUUUUUUUCGGAAUUAAUAGAUGAAGAAGGUGAAACCUAGGAUUAUCAGAACAGAGCUUGUUUCAGUUCGUAGAUCACCUCGUGUUGCUAACAAACCUGUCCCUGAAUACAAAGAAGUAUAUUUUGUUCUUUUUUCCCCAUUUGAGUCCGAAAUACAUGACUUUCUGGCUAUAUUUGAAUUGCAUUUUACUAAAAUUUAUUUACUCAUUUUUGGAGCACAGGUGAUUUAUUAUGAAAGGGUGAUGAUACCUAGAAGGUAACACUUUAUUUUAGUUUGUAAAAGGCAUUCAUUUUACCCAUUUGCUGCAGGUGAAAAUGAAAAGGCUAACAUAUGAAUAUGUCGUGUAAUGCGUUCAAUGUUUGUUUGUUUAGGAUGUCCACUCCAAGAAAGAGGGAUUUGUCGAAUAUGGUAUAUGCUACGGACGAAGAAAGGGCUGCUUCGAUAGAGAAAGCAGAGAAACUUGAAGCAAGUCUUGGACCGGGCUAUCCUAUAUUAAUUAGAUCAAUGCUUCCCUCCCAUGUUUCUGGAGGUUUUUGGCUGGUCAGUUUUAGCCUCUUAUGGUUUUAUACACCGGCAUUUAUUCUAAGUUAUCAAUCAAUGUUUAUUAAAUAGAGUUGCCUGCAAUUAUUUUUUAUGUGGUGUAACUGUGUUAAUAUUUUUCGCUUAAAUUUUGUCACUGUUGACUCUGUGGGCAGGUAAGUAACUUAAAAUUUAGGUCAUCGCAUAGGAUAACUUAAGGAUUAGGAAAUCAGUUGUAUUAACUGCUCAUUCAAUGAAAAAUGCUGCACCUAAUUUACAAACUUUAUAGGAACCAACAUUCAGAGUGCGAAGCUAAAAGUGGAAUUAUUGUUCAGUUCUGAAAUGAAAUAGGUCCAAAUAAGGUGGAAAAAUACAAAGGAUCCAUAUAGCCAACCCAACUAGUUUGGGAUUGCGGCGUAGUUGAUUGAUGUAUUGAUUCAUAGAAGUGUUGUCUUCGCCCAAAUUUUUUAUACAGUAGAUUAUAUAGUCCUCUUUGGAGAUCGAUAAGUUUACAUUUCCAAAGAGUGUAAAUUAUGGGCCAAAAGAGACUUUCACACUUACCUAGUAUACUGCAAAAAGAUUUUUAACUUCUAUACACUUCAGUGUAAAAGUAUUCUUACUGUCCAUAAUAAGUGGAACUAGUUACUUAAAAAAUAAAGCAGUCAACUUGCUACAGGUAAGUGGAUGCUAUAGCUCACAUAAUGAGUUUUGCAUAUCUUGUGAGGGUUUUGAUUCCUUUUAUUUAGUUAUGGUUAGGUUUUCAAUACUAAACUGUUAUGCAAUUACGAUAAUCAAAUCAAUUAGAAUGAACAAGGAGGAUGCUAACUCAUUUACAACUCAUGAAUGCAGGGUCUACCGUCUAAUUUCUGCAGGAAGAAUCUUCCAAGAAGAGAUGAUACUAUCACCUUAAUAGAUGAAACAGGAGGUGAGUGGCCAACGGUGUACUUGGCGCAAAAGAACGGACUAAGUGGCGGAUGGAAGAAGUUCGCUGUGGAUCAUGACUUGGCCGAUGGAGAUGCAAUUGUGUUCCAUUUGAUACGCCCUACAAAAUUUAAGGUGACACUGCUGAAUAUUAAGGAUGUUUGUAAGUUUGUCAGUGAGCAUCUUUAGCUCAAAUUUCACGUUCAACACCCUAUGUUCCAGAAAGUUGAGAGAUGCAACAUUGUCUAGAUAAUACAUAUGUUCUUUCUAAUUACGCCUCUCGUUGGCAUGAGUACAAUGAAAGAACAGAUUAUUCAGGGGAAGCAAGUUGAAGUUCUGAACUAUAUCUCUUUCCUUUCUCUAUAGGUGUAUAUCAUAAGGGUAAACAAUGUCAGUGAGAGUGAAAGUACUGAAACCUCCACAAAAUAGGUAUAUAUCUACAAAGCUCUCGAUAUCCAGGUACAAGGACUAUAAAGAAUCUUUUAAGACUUUCUUUUUUAGUUUGCAGUAAUAUUUUCAGAAUAUAGUGUAUGGUAAAUAUUGAUAUGACAAAUGACUAUAUAAUUUAUCAUUCUCAAGCUGCAGACUCUUUAAACUAACUAGUUAAUUCAUAUUUGGAAUCUUUUCCAUAUGUAAACUUCUAAGACAUUAGUUUAUAAUCAAAGUGGCAAUGAAAGAAGGAAGCUUUCCAUUGAAUUAAAGUCAUGUACAUGUGUUUUACACUUACUAUCUACAGGACUUGAAAAUUCUGAAACUUGCUACUUACUUUUAGGAAGUUGUCAUUCGUCCAAGUCAAUAAUGAACUUCUGCAAUUGGUUUAUUUGAUCUGAAGCCACAUUUUCAGGGGAAAAGGCAUAUAUUAAGUACAUCAUUUAUACAAUAGUCUAAUGGACAGAUUUAUUGAUGUUCUCAUAUGUUGAAGUAUGACUUUUCAUCUUAUUCAUAAUUUUUAAAGAUACAACUUGCAAAUGUUGACAUGUUGUGUUAUAGUCUGCAGACAACUGUAAUUCCAGCUAGCUGCUUGAACAAAAUAUGCCACAUAUUAGCAACUAGUUAAAUGGCAGUGCUCUAAGCUUCUGCUAUGCAUGGGUCCGGGAAGGACCAGACCAAAAAGUGUCACUUUAGCCCAUGAACUGUAGAUGUAUCUGUAAGUUCCAGCUAGCUGCUUGAACAAAAUAUGCUACAUAUUAGCAACUAGUUAAACGGCAGUGCUCUAAGCUUCUGCUAUGCAUGGGUCCGGGAAGGACCAGACCAAAAAGUGUCACUUUAGCCCAUGAACUGUAGAUGUAUCUGUAAGUUGGAGAUAGGAAACAUGAACUCACAUAUAUAUGCUACUAGAGAUUAUUCAACAACAUAUUGUGUUAAUGAACUUCUGCAAUUGGUUUAUUUGAUCUGAAGCCAGAUUUUCAGGGGAAAAGGCAUAUAUUAAGUACAUCAUUUAUACAAUAGUCUAAU
rnacentral:lncRNA from 1 species